rnacentral:rRNA from 1 species
GAUGAACGCUAGCGGCAGGCCUAAUACAUGCAAGUCAAGGGGCCCAGCAAUGGGCACCGGCGGACGGGUGCGUAACGCGUACACAACAUACCUUUAAGUGGGGGAUAGCAUUGGGAAACUGAUGGUAAUACCCCAUAAUAAUUCAGGGAGGCAUUUCCUUGGAUUUAAAGCUCCGGCGCUUAGAGAUUGGUGGGCGUCCGAUUAGCUAGUUGGUGGGGUAACGGCUCACCAAGGCGACGAUCUGUAGCGGGUCUGAGAGGAUGAUCCGCCACACUGGGACUGAGACACGGCCCAGACUCCUACGGGAGGCAGCAGUGGGGAAUUUUGGACAAUGGGGGCAACCCUGAUCCAGCAAUGCCGCGUGAGUGAAGAAGGCCUUCGGGUUGUAAAGCUCUUUGUCUAGGGAAGAAACAGCAGCUCUAACACAGUCUGCGAAUGACGGUACCUGAAGAAUAAGCACCGGCUAACUACGUG